UGCAAGACAGAUGCGAUUACACAAAAUGGAUGUGUUUACACAUUUCCUAGGAAUAUUAUAAAUAACAAAUUCUAAUUUAAAGCAUAGAGAAUCAUGAGCGAUCGAGCCAGAAGCACGAGGAUCAAAUAACGAGCUCCUUUUGACCAAAAACAGCGGCUUAGUGUUUGAUAGCAAUAAUUAAACCUCCAAUGCGCUAACUACCGCGUGUUAGUCCCCUACACUUUCUUUACAAGCGAACAUUCGAUUGUUAGACCAGAACGUAACGAUAUACAGAAUACAAGGAGCGAGAAACAAUUGGAAAACAAAAACAAAAAAAAAUUACACGUAAGUUCCAGCUCAUGUUCCGAUAUCUUUUAAUUUAUUUUCAAUUUUGGCUUAUUAAGAUCUUAAUUUUAAGUUAUUAAAGUCUAAUUUUAAAAUAAUUGAGUCAAACUUUUAUUAAAUUCCAUUUCUAACCCAGGUAAUGAAAUGUUAGCAAUGCGCUAGCAUUGUCAACAUUUUGUUUACUAAAAAUAAACUUAAAAUCUGAUUAAGUUUACCAAACGGCAUAAAUAUUGUAGAAUUGCGUAUCAGAAUGCUUCAAAAUCAUAAAUUAAAAUCACCGGUGAUUUUCAACAAUUCUUAUCUUUUAAAUAUAUGCUCUUUUUUUUUUCAGUCGGUGAUUAUUUACGUAUUCGUUCCUUGCAUUCUAUUUUCAUGUUUCGCCGCAUCCCAGUCCGCCGAUCACGUCGUAUCAUACGUACCGAAGGUCUAGAGAUAUAUUUACAAAAUGUACAGAGCGAUUUCAAUCCUGCCGGAGCAGAUUUUAGUGCAUACUGCAGUAUCACCGCCUCUUAUUCUCCACUCCUUGUCUCACAGUGUCGCCGUUGCGCCGGUUGUCUCUUUAAUAUCCUUUUAUGUAUAACAUUUUUAUAUACAACGCUGCGCGACGAACGGUGACACUGAGAGGCCGGUCGCUCGUACCAGCGGCGCGCGAUGCAAAACUGGAAAAAAAAAAAAAGGAAAUACUUUCUCCAGGCUGGCGAAUCGCAAGUCUGCGGAGAUAGCGAUCUGCGGUAUACAUAAGGUAAAAGAAAAGUGAGGGAGAUCGUCAUAAAACGGGAUAAAGUCGAUCGUGCUUCGCUUUUCUUUCAUUUAGCUCUGCUGAGAUAUUUUUAAAUUACAAACAAAUAAAUAAAACAUGUUGCGAAAACGCACUUAAAUAAUUCUUGCUUUAUAUUUAAGAACUAACGACACAACAUAACUAUACUUUUUUUUUGUAAUCUCUAAGAGAAAAAGAAAAGAAUAGUAACAUUUAUUUUAUAUCUGAUCAAUAUUAGUCCGUUUUAUGCUAUCUAUUUCUCGUAUGAUGCGCACGACUUAAGAUAUACUUAACGUAUAAGAUACGACGUAUCUCUCUUGUAUAAAAGUUUAAUUGAAAAAUGGAAUACCAUGACCGAUUUGACCAAUAUCUCUCAAACUUUUAUUAAUCAGAUUAACCAAAUCAACGACACAUCUUUCUUUUAUCAACGGAACGAUAAGGGCAAAGGCGAUUCAGCGAUCGUCAGCUGAUAAUGAAACACGACAUUCACAAUUCACGACGCACUCCACAUUUUUCCAUCCGCUGCUUUAUUCAUUUCUCUCGUAGGUGUCAAGUAUCAGACAGGCGACAUGAGAAAAGUUGGUAAAACCGGCCAUUAGAUUCGCUUCGCAUUAUGCUGCUUUUAUCUCCGUUCCAAAGGAAGAGACGCACGCGUUUGUCGCGAGUGGUUUUCUUUGUUGGAUUGAUCGAUCAACACGAUUUGUGAUCGGAGCCUCGUUUCACAAUAGAAAAUCAGUUACGCGUGUCGUAGCGUGAUUGCACUUUUCAUUUCGCUAAUGCCGAUGAGACUUUGUACACUCAACCGCUCGGAUCCAUCGACAAGAGAGGAGCAUUAGUACUAAACACGAACUCGAAGACCGUGAGACCUUAAAAUUAACACGCAUACUCGUUAAUACAUCUAUUCUUCUUAGUAGCACCUUGUUAUACUUUCUGCGUUUAAGUUAAAAGAGUGCACAGUUCUUUGAAAGGAAAAUAUAAAAAAAAUUGUACAAGAGUAUAGCACGCGCGGCUAAAAAGAACAGACAUAUCGAAUCGACGCAGAUGCAUUUCGUUUUUACAACUUCGACAAAAGGAAGUAUUCCUCUGCUUUGCGUACCGUACUUUCGACAACGCUAGAAGGGCCGACUGACAAAGUACACACUUGUUUUUUUUUUCUUUUUUUUGAUUCUCCAACUUCUGUUAAUCGAUGUAAAAGUAAGUUUAAUUCAAAUUGCACAUUCUAUUAUAGUGAUAGAUCUAUAUAUUUUACGUCUGCCCUUCUAAUCUCAAGCCAUUUGCCUCAGAAUUUAAACAAACAUUCUUCUAAAUGAUGCACCUUUUCACGCACGGUUUUCUCUCAAUUGAGAUUUUUGGAAAAAAAAAAGAAAUCUGACUUCGCUCCGAACGUUUCGCACGAAUGUCGCAACUUCUCUCUCGACGGGCUAAACUAUAUAAUUCCAGUUAUCUUACACAGUUAUUUACACAGGUGUCUGCUAUACAGUCUACAAGUCUCUCGCGCGAAAGAAGAUCACCACGAAGUCGUCAGAAUGCUCCAAAGAUGGAUGACGAGAAUGACUUCCCUUCUCUGAGAUAAAUAUACUGAAAUGUUGGGCAAUGUAUUGACCUAUCCAAGUAGCUUACUCUAUCAACCAUUACAACAACCCAUUACCGUCAGUACAUUUAGUACAGAUAAAGUUAUGCUAAUCAAAACAAAAA